rnacentral:tRNA from 1 species
GGGGAAUUAGGCUAGUGGAAAACCGCCGCCUUUGCAAGGCGGAUUCAUCAGUUCGACUCUGAUAUUCUCCACCA